UGGUGGAGUGAUUUGUCUGGUUAAUUUCGUUAACGAACGAAACCUUAACCUGCUAAAUAGUUACACGUAGCUUCGGUUACGUGGGCAGCUUCUUAGAGGGACUUUGCGUGUCUAACGCAGGGCAGUUUGAGGCAAUAACA
rnacentral:rRNA from 1 species